rnacentral:misc_RNA from 1 species
CAGAGAACUUGCCCUUCGGGGUAGAUCUCCCACCCUUUGUUUACAAUACCAUUGUUGCUUUGGCAGGCCCGUCUUUGGACCACCGGCUCCGGCUGGUCAGUGCCUGCCAGAGGAUUCAAAACUCUGAUAAUUAUGUCGUCUGAGUACUAUUAUAAAUAGUUA